rnacentral:rRNA from 1 species
CCUGGCUCAGAUUGAACGCUGGCGGCAGGCUUAACACAUGCAAGUCGAGCGGAGAGAGGUAGCUUGCUACUGAUCUUAGCGGCGGACGGGUGAGUAAUACUUAGGAAUCUGGCUAUUAGUGGGGGACAACAUUUCGAAAGGGAUGCUAAUACCGCAUACGUCCUACGGGAGAAAGCAGGGGAUCUUCGGACCUUGCGCUAAUAGAUGAGCCUAAGUCGGAUUAGCUAGUUGGUGGGGUAAAGGCCUACCAAGGCGACGAUCUGUAGCGGGUCUGAGAGGAUGAUCCGCCACACUGGGACUGAGACACGGCCCAGACUCCUACGGGAGGCAGCAGAAGGG